GACGAACGCUGGCGGCGUGCCUAAUACAUGCAAGUCGAACGCUUCUUUCCUCCCGAGUGCUUGCACUCAAUUGGAAAGAGGAGUGGCGGACGGUUGAGUAACACGUGGGUAACCUACCCAUCAGAGGGGGAUAACACUUGGAAACAGGUGCUAAUACCGCAUAACAGUUUAUGCCGCAUGGCAUAAGAGUGAAAGGCGCUUUCGGGUGUCGCUGAUGGAUGGACCCGCGGUGCAUUAGCUAGUUGGUGAGGUAACGGCUCACCAAGGCCACGAUGCAUAGCCGACCUGAGGGGGUGAUCGGCCACACUGGGACUGAGACACGGCCCAGACUCCUACGGGAGGCAGCAGUAGGGAAUCUUCGGCAAUGGACGAAAGUCUGACAGAGCAACGCGGCGUGAGUGAAGAAGGUGUUCGGAUCGUAAAACUCUGUUGUUAGAGAAGAACAAGGACGUUAGUAACUGAACGGCCAAUGACGGUAUCUAAACAGAAAGCCACGGCUAACUACGUG
rnacentral:rRNA from 1 species